UUCCGGUUGAUCCUGCCGGACCUGACUGCUAUCGGAUUGAUACUAAGCCAUGCGAGUCUUUGCAGUAAUGCAAGGCAUACGGCUCAGUAACACGUAGUCAACUUACCCUAUGGACGAGGAUAAUCUCGGGAAACUGAGCAUAAUACUCGAUAGAUCAUAAUGCCUGGAAUGGUUUAUGGUUAAAAUGAUUCGUCGCCAUAGGAUGGGACUGCGGCCUAUCAGCUUGUUGGUGAGGUAAUGGCCCACCAAGGCGAUUACAGGUACGGGCUCUGAGAGGAGAAGCCCGGAGAUGGGUACUGAGACAAGGACCCAGGCCCUAUGGGGCGCAGCAGGCGAGAAAACUUUGCAAUGUGCGAAAGCACGACAAGGUUAAUCCGAGUGAUUUCUGCUAAAGAAAUCUUUUGCAAGUCAUAAAACCACUAGUGAAUAAGGGGUGGGCAAGUUCUGGUGUCAGCCGCCGCGGUAAAACCAGCACCUCAAGUGGUCAGGAGGAUUAUUGGGCCUAAAGCAUCCGUAGCCGGCUCUGUAAGUUUUCGGUUAAAUUCAUGUGCUCAACGCAUGAGCCGCCGAAAAUACUGCAUAGCUAGGGAGUGGGAGAGGUAGACGGUACUCGGUAGGAAGGGGUAAAAUCCUUUGAUCUAUCGAUGACCACCUGUGGCGAAGGCGGUCUACCAGAACACGUUCGACGGUGAGGGAUGAAAGCUGGGGGAGCAAACCGGAUUAGAUACCCGGGUAGUCCCAGCUGUAAACGAUGCAGACUCGAUGAUGCAUUGGCAUAUAGCCAGUGCAGUGUCGCAGGGAAGCCGUUAAGUCUGCCGCCUGGGAAGUACGUACGCAAGUAUGAAACUUAAAGGAAUUGGCGGGGGAGCACCACAAGGGGUGAAGCCUGCGGUUCAAUUGGAUUCAACGCCGG
rnacentral:rRNA from 1 species